rnacentral:rRNA from 1 species
GACGAACGCUGGCGGCGUGCUUAACACAUGCAAGUCGAACGGAAAGGCCCUGCUUUUGUGGGGUGCUCGAGUGGCGAACGGGUGAGUAACACGUGAGUAACCUGCCCUUGACUUUGGGAUAACUUCAGGAAACUGGGGCUAAUACCGGAUAGGAGCUCCUGCUGCAUGGUGGGGGUUGGAAAGUUUCGGCGGUUGGGGAUGGACUCGCGGCUUAUCAGCUUGUUGGUGGGGUAGUGGCUUACCAAGGCUUUGACGGGUAGCCGGCCUGAGAGGGUGACCGGCCACAUUGGGACUGCGAUACGGCCCAGACUCCUACGGGAGGCAGCAGUGGGGAAUAUUGCACAAUGGGCGGAAGCCUGAUGCAGAAACGCCGCGUGCGGGAUGACGGCCUUCGGGCUGUAAACCGCUUUCGCCUGUGACGAAGCGUGAGUGACGGUAAUGGGUAAAGAAGCACCGGCUAACUACGUG